rnacentral:rRNA from 1 species
AUUGAACGCUGGCGGCAUGCUUUACACAUGCAAGUCGAACGGCAGCACGGGUGCUUGCACCUGGUGGCGAGUGGCGGACGGGUGAGUAAUACAUCGGAACGUAUCCUAAAGUGGGGGAUAACGCAUCGAAAGAUGUGCUAAUACCGCAUACACUCUGAGGAGGAAAGUAGGGGAUCGAAAGACCUUAUGCUUUUGGAGCGGCCGAUGUCUGAUUAGCUAGUUGGUAAGGUAAUGGCUUACCAAGGCAACGAUCAGUAGUUGGUCUGAGAGGACGACCAGCCACACUGGGACUGAGACACGGCCCAGACUCCUACGGGAGGCAGCAGUGGGGGAAUUUUGGACAAUGGGCGCAAGCCUGAUCCAGCCAUGCCGCGUGAGUGAAGAAGGCCUUCGGUU